rnacentral:rRNA from 1 species
GAUGAACGCUGGCGGCGUGCCUAAUACAUGCAAGUCGAGCGAACGGACGAGAAGCUUGCUUUUCUGAUGUUAGCGGCGGACGGGUGAGUAACACGUGGAUAACCUACCUAUAAGACUGGUAUAACUUCGGGAAACCGGAGCUAAUACCGGAUAAUAUUUUGAACCGCAUGGUUCAAAAGUGAAAGACGGUCUUGCUGUCACUUAUAGAUGGAUCUGCGCUGCAUUAGCUAGUUGGUAAGGUAACGGCAUACCAAGGCAAGCAUGCAUAGCCGACCUGAGAGGGUGGUCGGCGACAUUGGAACUGAGACACGGUCAAGACUCCUACGGGAGGCAGCAGUAGGGAAUCUUCCGCAAUGGGCGAAAGCCUGACGGAGCAACGCCGCGUGAGUGAUGAAGGUCUUCGGAUCGGAAAACUCUGUUAUUAGGGAAGAACAUAUGUGUAAGGAACUGUGCACAUCGUGACGGUACCUAAUCAGAAAGCCACGGCUAACUACGUG